rnacentral:rRNA from 1 species
UACAGAGGUGGCAAGCGUUGUUCGGAAUAACUGGGCUUAAAGGGCGCGUAGGCGGGCCGCCAAGUUCGAGGUGAAAUCCUCCGGCUCAACCGGAGAACUGCCUCGAAUACUGGAGGCCUCGAGGCGGGUAGGGGCAUGCGGAACUGUGGGUGGAGCGGUGAAAUGCGUUGAUAUCCACAGGAACUCCGGUGGCGAAGGCGGCAUGCUGGACCCGAUCUGACGCUGAGGCGCGAAAGCCAGGGGAGCAAACGGG